rnacentral:lncRNA from 1 species
UCUGAGUUUAAACAGGGGCUCAAAGUGGCAUUCGAGAGAGAGGCUACUUCCUCCCGGAGUGGACACUUGUCUUUUCAGAAGACUUACUCUGAUCGCAAGGCAACACCUUUACCAGGGGGUUGAGUAGUCGUUCUGAACUCUGCAAACUCGCCUUUAUCUGCUGGAACUUGUGCUCGACGCUUGGAGUGGUCUGGACCCCAGCAUGUCCUCUUAUAAAUGAGACCGAGGGGGCAGAGACCACGCUCCAGACACGAACUUCCUUGGACUCACCACCAAGAUGCUAACAGUGAAGAGGCUGGAAGGAAUCAACGCGUGUUACUGCAGUGACCAGCUGGAGAAGAUGGCCUUUUUCCAGUGCAUGGAGGAGGUGGAGAAGUGCUUUCUGGAAGAAAGUUCUGGUGAACAAGAUCCGAGAUCUGGAAAGAACCAGGCCUGCAGCGACAGGGUCUCGGUACCAGUUUUGGACGUCCACGGCCGUGUAUGUCGGAGAGGCUGGCUGCUUCCUCGCUUCUUCAGAAACCAGCGCCCUUACCUCUGGGCUGACAUGUGCAGCUGGCAGUGAGGGGAGCUCUGCUUGCUCCCCGGUGAGACAAGAGACUCUCGAAGACAAGAGGCGAGGGGCACUAACCCUGGUGGACCAGGAGGA